CCUCUCCUCACUCCUCAAGCCCCGCCCCCAUAGAGAACGGCAACCAGAUAUCCAACGGGUCGCUGGAGGAUGCAAGUCACAGCAAGUCAAACUCCUCCAGCUCCACCUCUGUGCACAGACACAUGGACAGCCAUCAUACUCAGAGGGGACAUCUCAACUUUUCUCCAUUCGGUGCAGGGGCCGCCAUCUAAAACAGUGAGGGGGGCAGGGGGGCUCACUGGAAGCCCUGUUCACAUGUAGGGAUGUGGUGUUCCAGAGGCUACGUCUGUCCAACAGGGAUGAGAGCGCUGCCCUGGGGGAGCUCCUACGGUGGCGGCGAACGCGGUGUGAGGGGCGGGGUGAGUGGAACCACCGUCCAACUCAGUCCCCACCCCUGCCCCCCACGCUGCUCUGGACCAACAGGAAGGCCUCUCCAUGACAGAGGCUGAGUGAUGCUGUCGCGUUUUGGUUAGGAUGUUCCUCCCUCUCCCUCUCUCGCUUCAACCACCCUCGCACAUGCUCUUUCUGUUUUUUUGUGGACUAAGUAUCUUUGUGCCCAGGGGCUAGGCUGAAGCUCCAAGCCCCAGAGUAUGAGUCUGGUCCCUGGGCUGAAGGUCCUGCCUCUCUGCCUUUAACCUCAGCUGUGGAGGAUGACCCAACAUACAUGAUAAAAGCACGCCACUGUGUGACACUGACAAUGUCAAACAUAAAAAAUUAAUAGAAAGCAAACACAACAGAGGUUCAUAGAUACCUGCAGUUUUUUUGUUUAUUUGUUUGUUUGUUUUUGUUUUGUGUGUGAUCACAUAAUUUAUUUAAAAAAGAAAAUAAUGAGGAUUACCUUAUUAUUUAUCUCACCGCUUCUGAGAUAAAAUAUACUAUACGAUGCCCAUUGAUGGAUUUAACAGCAACCAGUGUUUUCAUGGUAGUCAGGUAUUAAAAGCCUGUCCUUGUCUGUAUCUCCGCCUAUCAUGAUGUACUGCUGCACACAAAGGAGCUCCACCCCAAAACAUGGUGCUGAUUAUACUUGAUGUGGUGUCAUGUGAUGUUCCCACCUGUGAUGAUCCCAUGAGUGCUUGUAUGUUUGCACUUCUGAGUCUCAGACUUCUCUGAGGUUUAUAAGUCAGUCACCACCUUUGGACACCUCCAGUUUGUACUGACUUUUACUUGGGACCUUUUUCAGGUACACAGCUCUCACUUGGCCUCUCACAGUUCAGGCUCUGAGAACUACUGCAGCCCUGGUAACAAGUGACCAGGGGUCAGGGUAACCUCAGUAAUAUCCCAAGGUGCACUUCUCUUCCCCAUUGUUACCACCAGCCUUUGAGGAACAAAACCUUCUGGCCAAAAUGCAAACUACUGCACAUACCUUUACUAUGAGAAGAGGAUCAAACUAAAACAGCCUGCUUUAGUUAAAGGGAUAAAGGUAAAGCUAAAACAAAAACAAUUUAGCUGACAGGUGUAGUUCAUGUUGUGAACAUAAAACUCAGUGCCAAAGUGACACAACCUGUGAAGGAUAUGUCAAAACUAACUGAUGUGCGCAGUAGUCCCCGUGUACUCAUAUACAUACAGACUGACAAAUGACCAAAUCAAUCCAUGGACUGUUUCUAAAUAGAAUAGAGGAAAAAAGAGAACAGUAGUCUACAUCUGAAAAGUAACGAUUUAGCUCUCAUUGUGUCUCAUCGACCUGAAGACUUUUAUAUGUUCGGUGUUGUUCAGGAGACUGUGCUGAGCUCAGGAACUCAUGCACAGAUGAACUCGACUGCUGUACAGAUUUCCACCUUCAUGGCGCAACUACCUUCCCUGUCCUCUCCUUCAUCUCCUGUCCACACUUGACCCCAACAAACUGACCCCCCACACCCAUCAUCAUCACCUUCCUAAUGGAUCGAACCGGCUCUACGGGUGUUUCCAUGAUAACUGCUAUGUAAAUAGUAACCAUUGUCAUAUGUUUUAGUUUUUACUAUAGCAGAGAAGCACAGAGAUCGAGUUGAAAGAGGAGGAAGAGAUGAGAUAAUACUGUCUAUGAUGGUGAAACUGAGAUUUAAGAAUGUCUCGGGUUAGAUGCAAUGACUACGGUAAAGAGAAUAGGUUUAUUUUAAAAUGUGAAUAUCUGUUUUUUUUUCUUCAGAAUGAUUGUCUAUGGCAAUGAAACUCUUUAUACUCUAUUUAAUAUUAUUUGGUUUCCUCCUCUUGACACUGUUGUUGUGUUACCAUGAUGCAAGGCAAAUGUUUUCAUCAUGUACGCACAAUGUUUAUGUGGUAUUGUGUUGACUUUUGUAAUGGGCUGGGUGUGUCUCGACAAGCUCUUUGAUCUCUGAAGAUUGGUCUGAUUUGUAAGAGCUGCAAAGUAUCAAUAGCCCUAAUUGAAUUCUCAUUCCCACUGAUCACCCACAAUGUGUCCAAUGAUUGAUUCAGCCUCAGGCGAAUUAGCAGCACCAUCACAGGAUCAAUCUCAGCUGCUGUCGGUGCAUGCACAAAUAUGCAAGAGGAAUUAUUCACGACAGAGAUGGCGAAUCAGCUGAGCUGCAUUUUUGACUAACUGGCACAUUUUUAUUUCACUGCCUGUGCAUAUCAGUGAAACUCUGUGUAUCUUAUUACUGCACCUCUAUCUGAAGAGUGGCUACUUAACGUGAUUACUGUCUUCAAGUAUGCAGUUCAUUUUUUAAAAGCAAGUUAUUAACAUUAAGGUACUAUUAAGGUACACCAUGUGUGCUGUGAUUGGGGUUGCAUGAAUGGUACUGCUCUGCAGAACUACAUCAGACAUUUUCAUCAGCUUAUUCACACCAGGAUUUAAACCCAUAUGUGAUCAAACAAAACCAACCAACCAUGUUAACAGGAACCACGAUAAAGCUAGUCAACUUUACCGUACAGCGAGAAAGAAUUUAUAGGCUUUGCAUUUUGUCCUUCACUGUGAUCGGGGUUCUGAUUAGUUACAUGUCAUGGGUUUAUGUAUAGCCAUGUUUACUAAAAUCAUGAAAAGAGAUUUUUUUAAAAUUAUCUUUAAAAGCAUAUCAGUGUUUCUUAAUUGCAUGACCACAUGUUGGGCCUGACAACCCCCCCAAACAGUGUGCUCAUGCUGGGAAAAAAAGCUGUCUAAUGUGAAGAAUUGCUUCCUGCUGCACUGUGAAUCACUACACUGUCUCAUCUAAACACUCAUCAUCCAUCUACAUGGCCCACACACAUAUCAGCUGCAUUGUACACCAUCCCUGAUGAUUAAGCUCAGUCUGUCGUAAGCGUACUAAACUCUGGCAGUCCUAAAGCUGCCACUCAUCUUUGUUAGUCAGGAAUCUAUAAAUCCUCUGCUCUGAGAUCAGCUCUCUCUGGUGCUACAGCCAGUGCAGAAUGGUCAUUCUGAUCUCCCAGUCCUAGUGUAUGUAAAGUUUUCCAGAGAGACACAGUAUUUUAGCAUCUACAGUAAACAGGUGUAUCUCACUGCCUUUCAAUGGGUUAUUUUUUUUGUAGUCUUUUUUGUUUUUUGUUUUUUGUACAUGACAUACAGUAUAUUUUAACCUGCAUACAUAUGUGUUUGGGGAAAGAAAAAAAGACUAUGUGCUAUUUCAUAAAUAUUAUAUUCCCAAUGUUUUAUAAGUACUGUACCUAUACAGCAAUAAAGCACAUUGUGUGUAGAUCUUUGUUUGUGUGUGUGUGUGUGUGUGUGUGGCCUUGUUUUUCUAUUCCUGUGAAGAUGUAAAACUGGGAGCACACUAACUGGGGAGCACCAGACACGGUGGCUGGUCCCUAUAAUGUAGUUCAUUGAAUUUUAUGAAAACAACACUGUAAAUUAGAGCAAUUGUCAGCUUUGAUUAAAUCUAGGGUAAGGGUUAGGAUUGGCAAGUAGUGGUUAUGGAGUCCCAAAAAUAGAUCUAAU